rnacentral:RNase_P_RNA from 20 species
AUGAGUUAGCGUGGUGGUUGCGGGAGUCUGCCACUCCUGAGGAAAGUCCGGGCUUCCGAAAGACCAAGCUUGCUGGGUAACGCCCAGUGCGGGUGACCGCGAGGAAAGUGCCACAGAAAUAAACCGCCGAUGGAGGGAAACCUCACAGGCAAGGGUGCAACGGUGCGGUAAGAGCGCACCAGCAACAUCGAGAGAUGUUGGCUCGGUAAACCCCGGCUGGAAGCAAGGUGUGCUAGCGCUAAGGAACCAGGGUUGGUCUUUUCCCCAGUUCUUUGCUAGCCAGAGCCGCUAGAGGCACUUGGUAACAAGUGUCCCAGAUAGAUAACCACCCUUUGAACAGAACCCGGCUUACGUCUAACUCAUUCAU